CUGCUGCCUUCCGUAGGAGUUUGGACCGUGUCUCAGUUCCAAUGUGGCCGGCCAACCUCUCAGUCCGGCUACUGAUCGUCGCCAUGGUGGGCCUCUACCCCGCCAUCCAGCUAAUCAGACGCGAGUCCAUCUAAGAGCGAUAAAUCUUUGGCAGUCAGAGCCAUGCGACUCAACUGCAUUAUGCGGUAUUAGCACAGAUUUCUCUGUGUUAUUCCCCACUCCCAGGCAGG
rnacentral:rRNA from 1 species